UUCAAUGGCGGCUGUGUGUGGGGCACGUUCGCGUGCGCCGGUCUUCCUGUAUUCCACCGGUCUGUCAACCCAUACGCAGCUGCCACCCAC
rnacentral:antisense_RNA from 1 species